rnacentral:rRNA from 1 species
GGUGCGAGCGUUGUCCGGAAUUACUGGGCGUAAAGAGCUCGUAGGUGGUUUGUCGCGUUGUUCGUGAAAUCUCACGGCUUAACUGUGAGCGUGCGGGCGAUACGGGCAGACUUGAGUACUGCAGGGGAGACUGGAAUUCCUGGUGUAGCGGUGGAAUGCGCAGAUAUCAGGAGGAACACCGGUGGCGAAGGCGGGUCUCUGGGCAGUAACUGACGCUGAGGAGCGAAAGCGUGGGGAGCGAACAGGAUUAGAUACCCUGGUAGUCCACGCCGUAAACGGUGGGUACUAGGUGUGGGUUUCCUUCCUUGGGAUCCGUGCCGUAGCUAACGCAUUAAGUACCCCGCCUGGGGAGUACGGCCGCAAGGCUAAAACUCAAAGAAAUUGACGGGGGCCCGCACAAGCGGCGGAGCAUGUGGAUUAAUUCGAUGCAACGCGAAGAACCUUACCUGGGUUUGACAUGCACAGGACGCCGGCAGAGAUGUCAGUUCCCUUGUGGCCUGUGUGCAGGUGGUGCAUGGCUGUCGUCAGCUCGUGUCGUGAGAUGUUGGGUUAAGUCCCGCAACGAGCGCAACCCUUGUCUCAUGUUGCCAGCGGGUAAUGCCGGGGACUCGUGAGAGACUGCCGGGGUCAACUCGGAGGAAGGUGGGGAUGACGUCAAGUCAUCAUGCCCCUUAUGUCCGGGGCUUCACACAUGCUACAAUGGCCGGUACAAAGGGCUGCGAUGCCGCGAGGUUAAGCGAAUCCUUUUAAAGCCGGUCUCAGUUCGGAUCGGGGUCUGCAACUCGACCCCGUGAAGUCGGAGUCGCUAGUAAUCGCAGAUC